rfam:Ictidomys tridecemlineatus contig109830, whole genome shotgun sequence.
GGGGCUGGGGCUCAGUGACAGAGUGCUCGCCUAGCAUGCGUGAGGCACUGGGUUCAAUCCUCAGCUCCA